rnacentral:rRNA from 1 species
UACGGAGGGAGCUAGCGUUGUUCGGAAUUACUGGGCGUAAAGCGCGCGUAGGCGGCUUUGUAAGUUAGAGGUGAAAGCCCGGGGCUCAACCCCGGAACUGCCUUUAAGACUGCAUCGCUUGAAUCCGGGAGAGGUGAGUGGAAUUCCGAGUGUAGAGGUGAAAUUCGUAGAUAUUCGGAAGAACACCAGUGGCGUAAGCGACUCGCUGGGCUGUAACUGACGCUGAGGAACGAAAGCCAGGGGAGCGAAUGGG